rnacentral:rRNA from 1 species
GACAGAGGUGGCUAGCGUUGUUCGGAUUUAUUGGGCGUAAAGCGAACGCAGGUGGUUUGGUAAGUCAGGGGUGAAAUUCCGCAGCUUAACUGCGGCAUUGCCUUUGAUACUGCCUUUCUUGAGUGCAUGAGGGGGAAGCGGAAUUCCGAGUGUAGAGGUGAAAUUCGUAGAUAUUCGGAGGAACACCGGUGGCGAAGGCGGCUUCCUGGCAUGUAACUGACACUCAUGUUCGAAAGCGUGGGUAGCAAACAGG